CGGCUAGGUGACCUGCGGAGGGAUCAUUACACAAAUAUGAAGGCGGGCUGGAACCUCUCGGGGUUACAGCCUUGCUGAAUUAUUCACCCUUUCUUUUGCGUACUUCUUGUUUCCUUGGUGGGUUCGCCCACCACUAGGACAAACAUAAACCUUUUGUAAUUGCAAUCAGCGUCAGUAACAAAUUAAUAAUUACAACUUUCAACAACGGAUCUCUUGGUUCUGGCAUCGAUGAAGAACGCAGCGAAAUGCGAUAAGUAGUGUGAAUUGCAGAAUUCAGUGAAUCAUCGAAUCUUUGAACGCACAUUGCGCCCUUUGGUAUUCCAAAGGGCAUGCCUGUUCGAGCGUCAUUUGUACCCUCAAGCUUUGCUUGGUGUUGGGCGUCUUGUCUCUAGCUUUGCUGGAGACUCGCCUUAAAGUAAUUGGCAGCCGGCCUACUGGUUUCGGAGCGCAGCACAAGUCGCACUCUCUAUCAGCAAAGGUCUAGCAUCCAUUAAGCCUUUUUUUCAACUUUUGACCUCGGAUCAGGUAGGGAUACCCGCUGAACUUAAGCAUAUCAAAG
rnacentral:rRNA from 1 species